rnacentral:rRNA from 1 species
CCCUUAGAUGUUCUGGGCAGCACGCGCGCUACAAUGGUCUUCGCAAACGGAUGCAUUCUCGAAGGAGAAUGCCAAUCUUGGAAUCUAUGCCUUGGUCGGGACAGUUGCUUGCAAUUUUUCGACUCGAACCAGGAAUUCCUUGUAAUCGUGAUUCAUCACAUCACGAUGAAUACGUCCCUGCCCUUUGUACACACCGCCCGUCGCUCCUACCGAUCGAAGAGUUAGGCGAAUUGUUUUGAUCGAUAAGAUUUGACUAUGGUCAACUCUCGUUGUGAAAUUCUGUGAAUCUGACUGUUUAGAGGAAGGAAAAGUCGUAACA